GCGUGUAGCAGUGAAAUGCGUAGAUAUGCGGAGGAACACCGAUGGCGAAGGCAGCCCCCUGGGAUGACACUGACGCUCAUGCACGAAAGCGUGGGGAGCAAACAGGAUUAGAUACCCUGGUAGUCCACGCCCUAAACGAUGUCAACUAGCUGUUGGGGCCUUCGGGCCUUGGUAGCGCAGCUAACGCGUGAAGUUGACCGCCUGGGGAGUACGGUCGCAAGAUUAAAACUCAAAGGAAUUGACGGGGACCCGCACAAGCGGUGGAUGAUGUGGAUUAAUUCGAUGCAACGCGAAAAACCUUACCUACCCUUGACAUGUCUGGAAUCCCGAAGAGAUUUGGGAGUGCUCGCAAGAGAACUGGAACACAGGUGCUGCAUGGCUGUCGUCAGCU
rnacentral:rRNA from 1 species